rnacentral:rRNA from 1 species
AUUGAACGCUGGCGGCAGGCCUAACACAUGCAAGUCGAGCGAGCGGCGGACGGGUGAGUAAUGUCUGGGAAACUGCCUGAUGGAGGGGGAUAACUACUGGAAACGGUAGCUAAUACCGCAUACCAUCGGAUGUGCCCAGAUGGGAUUAACUAGUAGGUGGGGUAACGGCUUACCUAGGCGACGAACCCUAGCUGGGCUGAGAGGAUGACCAGCCACACUGGGACUGAGACACGGUCCAGACUCCUACGGGAGGCAGCAGUGGGGAAUAUUGCACAAUGGGCGCAAGCCUGAUGCAGCCAUGCCGCGUGUAUGAAGAAGGCCUUCGGGUUGUAAAGUACUUUCAGCGGGGGGGCGUUACCCGCAGAAGAAGCACCGGCUAACUCCGUGCCAGCAGCCGCGGUAAUAC